rnacentral:rRNA from 1 species
AUUGAACGCUGGCGGCAUGCCUAACACCUGCAAGUCGAGCGGACGAAGGGAGCUUGCUCCUGGAUUCAGUUGCGGACGGGCGAGUAAUGCCUAGGAAUCUGCCCUGUAGUUGGGGAUAACGUCCGUAAACGGGCGCUAAUACCGCAUACGUCCUUAUGGUGAAAGUGGGGGAUCUUCGGACCUCACGCUACUUGAUGAGACUAGGUCGGAUUAGCUAGUUGGUUGGGUAAAGGCCUACCAAGGCGACGAUCCGUAACUGGUCUGAGAGGAUGAUCAGUCACACUGGAACUGAGACACGGUCCAGACUCCUACGGGAGGCAGCAGUGGGGAAUAUUGGACAAUGGGCGAAAGCCUGAUCCAGCCAUGCCGCGUGUGUGAAGAAGGUCUUCGGAUUGUAAAGCACUUUAAGUUGGGAGGAAGGGCAGUAAGUUAAUACCUUGCUGUUUUGACGUUACCAACAGAAUAAGCACCGGCUAACUUCGUG